AAAAAUCUCCCGGAAUCGGCGAUAUUGAAGAAUUGGGCGGGCACGCACUGAAUGCACUUGAGGCACUUCUCUAACGGUCGUGGACUUCUCAACUCGAGCAAAGCGAGCGAAGUUUGGCCACAGCACUCCUGACCUCUACCCAAGGCGCCAUAGCAGUCCUGAGCUCAACCCAAGAGACAAUAGCAGGCACAUUAUUACUGAGGCACAUCAGCUCUGAGAUUCAUCCAUUAAGGCAUGCCAGCAGUGAGAUCCACACAUCAAGCAACACCAGCACUGAGAUGAAGUCAUGCCAGCUCUGAGAUCCAUAGACCAAGCCAUGCUGCACCUUCUCUAGUCCCAUCAAAGCAUACUGAGCCACACCAGGGAGCAGACAUCUAGUUUGCAAACAUCGGCUGUGAGGCGUAACCGUCUGAUGUCUGCGGCCACAGAAAAGGACAUUGAUUCCAAAAGAUUGCUAUAUCUGGCCCCAGAUAGUGAUGGUGGCAGGAGAGAGAGGAUGAAGAGAAAAGAGCGUCAGGAGAGUACAACAGGUUAACGGACUUGCGACUUGUUUUAAUGUUCAAGAGUUGUGUGCACAGUGCCACUUUUUCAUGAACUGAAACAUAGAUGUUCAAGAGCUGUGUGAAACAUGGCACUGACA